ACGUCAAAGGCCCGGGUGGACUGGUACCCCGACGUCGUGCGUUCGCGCCGACGAAGGGGGAAACCUCCGGUGUCCUGGCUGCCCUGCGACGGUCGUGCAGCAGAGGAGCAAUGCAUCUCUCUCUCGCGGCGUGCAAAAGGUCGGUGACCCACCCGACCCGUCUUGAAACACGGACCAAGGAGUCUAACAUGUGUGCGAGUCAUUGGGCGCACUAAACCCAGAGGCGAAAUGAAAGUGAAAGGAGGGUGCGGUUUCGCCGUGCUCUCCGGGGCCGAUCCUCGACCGGCUGUUGCCGCCAGGGUUCCCAUACCAAAGCGAGGUUACACAUAGGAGGUUUGGCGGGGUGAGUCCCUUUCCCCCGUCUGCCUCUGGCCUCGUGGGUUCCCGGUGCGCACGACGGUCCGGCUCCUUCACGGGAGUCGCCUGUACGCAGGGGGGCGCAGGCCCGGGACUUGCCAUUCGACGCCGCGCGCGAAUCUGUUGUUGGCCUCGCCGGCUUUGCUUGGGCUCUCGGUUGGCGCGCCGCGCGUCAGGCGGGCUUCGGGUGGGGGUCUCGUGCCCUCAUUCGGGUUCGUC
rnacentral:rRNA from 1 species